rnacentral:lncRNA from 1 species
GAUAGGAGGAAGCCGAAUUACGGUGGCUGAAAGUUCAGCUAGUCCACGAACAACAGGCAGUUAAGGAUGUCGAGGCAGAGUCCGAGGUCUUGAGGAGGAGGCUUCGAGAGUCAGAGGACGAGCAUCGGUGAUUCCACCAAAUAUUCCAAGAUAUGCUGCUGAAAAAGAUGGAACUAGAAGAAGAAGUCAAAAAUUUAAGACAAUCCAUAGCGGGGGC